ensembl:lncRNA
AGUCCAAAAUCAGUGCUUACAGAAGAAGGAGGGCACAUGUCCUGUUCUGCUCUCUUGAAUCCUCCUCAGAAGAGCCCAUAGAAACACGGGAAGGCCCAAGGGGAAUCUCUUGCUGCUGGAAAUGACACUGCGUGGGACUCAGAGUCCAGAGAUGGGGCUGGAUUCUUGUCUAAGAAACAUCACAGACCCAUGGGCAGCUUUUCCUCAUCCUGGUGCACAGGUCUGAAAACAGACCUGGCCGGUACUACAGCGAUUCUACUUGAAUGUGCUAAUCUGAUCCCACUAGAAAUCCACUGUCUAGCCA